rnacentral:rRNA from 1 species
CCUACGGGGGGCUGCAGUGAGGAAUAUUGGUCAAUGGGCGAGAGCCUGAACCAGCCAAGUCGCGUGAGGGAGUACUGCCCUAUGGGUUGUAAACCUCUUUUGUCGGGGAGCAAAAGCCGGACGUGUCCGGCUGUGAGAGUACCCGAAGAAAAAGCAUCGGCUAACUCCGUGCCAGCAGCCGCGGUAAUACGUAGGGGGCAAGCGUUAUCCGGAUUUACUGGGGGUAAAGGGGGCGCAGACGGCGAUGCAAGCCAGGAGUGAAAGCCCGGGGGCCAACCCCCGGACUGCUGUUGGGACUGCGUGGCUGGAGUGCAGGAGGAGCAGGCGGAAUUCGUGGUGUAGCGGUGAAAUGCGUAGAUAUCAGGAGGAACACCGGUGGCGAAGGCGGCCUGCUGGACUGCAACUGACGUUGAGGCCCGAAAGCGUGGGGAGCAAACAGGAUUAGAUACCCUUGUAGUC